rnacentral:rRNA from 1 species
UUGGUUAAGUCCGCAACGAGCGCAACCCCUAUUGUUAGUUGCCAUCAUUCAGUUGGGCACUCUAGCGAGACUGCCGGUAAUAAACCGGAGGAAGGUGGGGAUGACGUCAAAUCAUCAUGCCCCUUAUGACCUGGGCUACACACGUGCUACAAUGGUUGGUACAACGAGUUGCGAGUCGGUGACGGCGAGCUAAUCUCUUAAAGCCAAUCUCAGUUCGGAUUGUAGGCUGCAACUCGCCUACAUGAAGUCGGAAUCGCUAGUAAUCGCGGAUCAGCACGCCGCGGUGAAUACGUUCCCGGGCCUU